rnacentral:rRNA from 1 species
UACGAAGGGGGCUAGCGUUGCUCGGAAUUACUGGGCGUAAAGGGCGCGUAGGCGGCACUGUUAGUCAGGCGUGAAAGUCCUGGGCUCAACCUGGGAACUGCGCUUGAUACGGCAGAGCUAGAGGAUGGAAGAGGCUCGCGGAAUUCCCAGUGUAGAGGUGAAAUUCGUAGAUAUUGGGAAGAACACCGGUGGCGAAGGCGGCCAUCUGGACGGUAACUGACGCUGAGACGCGAAAGCGUGGGGAGCAAACAGG